UACGUAGGAGGCGAGCGUUGUCCGGAAUUAUUGGGCGUAAAGAGCUCGUAGGCGGUUUGUCGCGUCGAAUGUGAAAACCCGGGGCUCAACCCCGGGCCUGCAGUCGAUACGGGCAGACUAGAGUGCGGUAGGGGAGACUGGAAUUCCUGGUGUAGCGGUGAAAUGCGCAGAUAUCAGGAGGAACACCGGUGGCGAAGGCGGGUCUCUGGGCCGUAACUGACGCUGAGGAGCGAAAGCGUGGGGAGCGAACAGG
rnacentral:rRNA from 1 species